UACGAAGGGGGCUAGCGUUGCUCGGAAUUACUGGGCGUAAAGGGCGCGUAGGCGGAUAGUUUAGUCAGAGGUAAAAGCCCAGGACUCAACCUUGGAACUGCCUUUGAUACUGGCUAUCUUGAGUUCGGGAGAGGUGAGUGGAAUGCCGAGUGUAGAGGUGAAAUUCGUAGAUAUUCGGCGGAACACCAGUGGCGAAGGCGACUCACUGGCCCGAUACUGACGCUGAGGCGCGAAAGCGUGGGGAGCAAACAGG
rnacentral:rRNA from 1 species